CCUACGGGUGGCAGCAGUGAGGAAUCUUGGUCAAUGGGCGCGAGCCUGAACCAGCCAAGUCGCGUGAAGGAUGACUGCCCUACGGGUUGUAAACCUCUUUUAUAAAGGAAUAAAGUGAGGAACGUGUGCCUCUUUGUAUGUACUUUAUGAAUAAGGAUCGGCUAACUCCGUGACAGCAGCCGCGGUAAUACGGAGGAUCCGAGCGUUAUCCGGUUUUAUUGGGUUUAAAGGGAGCGUAGAUGGGUUGUUAAGUCAGGUGUGAAAGUUUGCGGCUCAACCGUAAAAUUGAAAUUGAUACUGGCAGCCUUGAGUACAGUAGGGGUAGGCGGAAUUCGUGGUGUAGCGGUGAAAUGCAUAGAUAUCACGAAGAACUCCGAUUGCGAAGGCAGCCUACUAAACUGCCACUGACAUUGAUGCUCGAAAGUGUGGGUAUCGAACAGGAUUAGAUACCCCUGUAGUC
rnacentral:rRNA from 1 species